CCUACGGGUGGCAGCAGUGAGGAAUAUUGGUCAAUGGGCGGAAGCCUGAACCAGCCAAGUCGCGUGAGGGAUUAAGGCCCUGCGGGUCGUAAACCUCUUUUGCCGGGGAGAAGAGGUCCGGACGUGUCCGGGCCGGGAGAGUACCCGGAGAAAAAGCAUCGGCUAACUCCGUCCCAGCAGCCGCGGUCAUACGGAGGAUGCGAGCGUUAUCCGGAUUGAUUGGGUUUAAGGGGUGCGUAGGCGGGCAUUAAAGCCGGAGGUAAAAUGUCGGGGCUCAACCCCGGCCUGCCGUCGGAACUGGGUGCCUUGAGUGGGCGAGAAGUAUGCGGAAUGCGUGGUGUAGCGGUGAAAUGCAUAGAUAUCACGCAGAACCCCGAUUGCGAAGGCAGCAUACUGGCGCCCUACUGACGCUGAGGCACGAAAGUGCGGGUAUCGAACAGGAUUAGAUACCCGUGUAGUC
rnacentral:rRNA from 1 species